UGGGGAAUUUUGGACAAUGGGGGCAACCCUGAUCCAGCAAUGCCGCGUGAGUGAAGAAGGCCUUCGGGUUGUAAAGCUCUUUUGUCAGGGAAGAAACGGUAGUAGCGAAUAACUAUUACUAAUGACGGUACCUGAAGAAUAAGCACCGGCUAACUACGUGCCAGCAGCCGCGGUAAUACGUAGGGUGCAAGCGUUAAUCGGAAUUACUGGGCGUAAAGCGUGCGCAGGCGGUUGUGUAAGUCAGAUGUGAAAUCCCCGGGCUCAACCUGGGAAUUGCAUUUGAGACUGCACGGCUAGAGUGUGUCAGAGGGGGGUAGAAUUCCACGUGUAGCAGUGAAAUGCGUAGAUAUGUGGAGGAAUACCGAUGGCGAAGGCAGCCCCCUGGGAUAACACUGACGCUGAGGCUCGAAAGCGUGGGGAGCAAACAGGAUUAGAUACCCCCGUAGUCCCUGAGCGGGCUGGCAAGGCGCAU
rnacentral:rRNA from 1 species